rnacentral:rRNA from 1 species
AGUGAACGCUGGCGGUAGGCCUAACACAUGCAAGUCGAACGGCAGCACAGUAAGAGCUUGCUCUUACGGGUGGCGAGUGGCGGACGGGUGAGGAAUACAUCGGAAUCUACUUUUUCGUGGGGGAUAACGUAGGGAAACUUACGCUAAUACCGCAUACGACCUACGGGUGAAAGCAGGGGAUCUUCGGACCUUGCGCGAUUGAAUGAGCCGAUGUGGGAUUAGCUAGUUGGCGGGGUAAAGGCCCACCAAGGCGACGAUCCGUAGCUGGUCUGAGAGGAUGAACAGCCACCCUGGAACUGGGACUCGGUCCAUACUCCUACGGGAGGCAGCAGUGGGGAAUUUUGGGCAAUUGGCGCAAUCCUGAUCCAGCCCUACCGCGUGGGUGAAGAAGGCCUUCGGGUUGUAAAGCCCUUUUGUUGGGAAAGAAAAGCAGCAGGUUAAUACCCCGCUGUUCUGACGGUACCCAAAGAAUAAGCACCGGCUAACUUCGUG